AUUCUAGCUGGUUUGAGAUGCCUUAAAAGUAGACGAGAGUAGGCGCACACGAGAUCACAGGCAGAUCUCGCGUGAUUUGCGCUCGUUUUUUGUUGCUAAUACAUUGACUAGACCUGCUAAUACAUUAAAAAUUUAAAUUUUGCUACUUUUACAUGAAAAUAAUUAUGAUGAUCAAGACACCCAAAUGUCAACAAUCACAUAUCCCAUACGGAUCACAUGGUUGGGCUGCCACCCAAGCUGUAUUGCUGCAUCAACCAUCACAUCCCAGUCUUAUCCAUUUUCUAUGAUGGAGUUAGUGAUCUGAGACCAGACUACAGACAUUGACAAAUCUCUUUUCAUUCAUUCGUGACCAUUAUGAUCAUGGCUGGGGCCUUGAGCUUGAAGUGCUUGUUUUUGUAUUCCAGUUAGCCAGCACUACUUCCUAUCGGGUAUCCGGAGCCUUUGACAUACACCGCUCCACUGCACAAGUAAGAUCAUGAGCAAAAGAGCAAAAGUAAUUAAUUUCCCAGCUGUUGAGGAAUCGCAGGAGAUUGGAGAUGGAUUUGCACAACUCGCACAACUAAAAACCAGCAUAUGAAAAAAUAUAUUACCCCAUAACACGAAUAAAAUAUCUGUCCAUAACACAAAACUAUUCUUUAUCAUAUAAGUGUAUAUAACUUUGUUCUUUAUUCUGUCAUAGAAUUAAAACAGUUAUAUUUCUUUGGUUUCUAUUUAGGUGACUGACUGAGAGAAACAAUAAAACAAAUGGUUACCUAUUAA